CCUACGGGAGGCAGCAGUGAGGAAUAUUGGUCAAUGGACGAGAGUCUGAACCAGCCAAGUAGCGUGAAGGAUGACUGCCCUAUGGAUUGUAAACUUCUUUUAUAAAGGAAUAAAAGGAGGCACGUGUGCCUUUUUGCAUGUACUUUAUGAAUAAGGAUCGGCUAACUCCGUGCCAGCAGCCGCGGUAAUACGGAGGAUCCGAGCGUUAUCCGGAUUUAUUGGGGUUAAAGGGAGCGUAGAUGGGUUGUUAAGUCAGUUGUGAAAGUUUGGGGCUCAACCGUAAAAUUGCAAUUGAUACUGGCAGUCUUGAGUACAAGUGAGGUAGGCGGAAUUCGUGGUGUAGCGGUGAAAUGCUUAGAUAUCACGAAGAACCCCGAUUGCGAAGGCAGCUUACUAAACUGUUACUGACACUGAUGCUCGAAAGUGUGGGGAUCAAACAGGAUUAGAUACCCUAGUAGUC
rnacentral:rRNA from 1 species